rnacentral:lncRNA from 1 species
AGGAGACCGACCCAGAGGUUUCCGAAGUGUCUCUCAUUUGAUUCCAUAAUCACAUUCCCGUGGCAGGCGAUUUCAGGCACUUUUAAAACAUGUUCAUCUGGAAUAAAAAUCUGCACGAACCGCUUCUGCAUAAUUUGAAAUGAGUGCUGAGUAAUGAAUUCUAGCUCCCCGACUGGCAGCAGCACCGCCUGGUCCCCAGUCAGCCGCCUCGUCGCAGCACGCUGGCAAGUGCAGAGCUUGAGAUGCGCUAUGUCUAUGAGGUCCCCUUCUAGCUUAGUACAAAGAGGUGAGUCAUAAAAAUCCAAAGUAUUCAAUUUCUACUUAAAAAAAUACAAAAAGGUAAAUACACUGAAUGUAUUAUACAGAUGGCUGUAGCUACUAUCAAAUAAAUAACAUGAUUUGACUCCAGGGUUUAACGCUGAGCUCUUGGCCCGAGUCUGAUGGAAUGUCAAAUGUGGAGACUCAGCCCUAGGGACUAGCUGCUGGUAGGCAAAAGUAUCUCAACAUCUUUGCCAUUGGCCACCACGGCACUGGGGGAGCAGCUGCUGGCGAGGUCUUCUGUGGCGGCCAGGGAGGAUGCCUGGGAAUGAGUCUUGGUUACUGGAGUGGUGGCAGACUGCGAAGGGGUGAGGCCAGGCUUUUUGGGCGGGAUUGGUGGAGGGUUUCCUCUCUCAGCUCUGGGGAUGGUUGGGGACUUGAUUCCUGGAGAGAGGGGGCUCAGAGGGCUGGACACUUUCCCUGGAGUGGGUGAAUGGCUGGUGUCACCUCUUGGGCUGGCAGUGCUGGCCAGAUUUCGGUAGUCUGUCCCAAAGGGAGAACUGUUGGGAGAGACGGGCUUAAUUGGCCCUUGGUUAGUGAAUCUGGAGAGCACCUGAGUGACUGUGUUUCGGGCCAGCUGCUUGGCAGCAGAGUUGUCUAACAGGGUAGGGGACAGGUCCCUGGAUGGAGGGCUCUGGAGACCGCUGGCUUGCUGAUCCUGAUCCGCCUGGGACUGAAAUUUGUGCCGAGCGGCAUGGAAGCGCUGGUUGAUCCCGACUUGGUAGGAAGACUGGUAGCCCGGGCUGCUGGCUGCUGACCCCAAGAGACGCUUGGUUAGAACUGGGGAGGAGCAAGGAGAUGAUGUCAGAGAGGAAGAGGCUGUGCUGCUGGGAGACAGGGAGCUGCCACUGGAAGGGAGGUGACUAGGCAUCGUGACUGGAGUCUCAGUUCCUACAGGACACCCACCAUUCUCCACUGGUUUCUCCUGAGCCGCUACUGCAGAUUUCUCCCGUGGAGGCCCUUGGUUUUCUGUGCUGCUGUCUGAGGUCAACUCCCUGGUAGUCUGUAUCUCUGGGUCACAGUGGCCAUUAGCUUUAGCAUAUGAGUAAGCAGCCGUGGUGGGACCUGGAAGACCAGUGUCUGUCAGCUUGGUUAUGACACUCCCGUGGCUUCUUUCUGUCUGAACACUCUCUGUUUGACAAAACGCAGACACUCGCAUGGGAGGCUCCGUGGCUGUGCCUCUGGACAUGGUCACUGGCUCCCUGCCCUGCUCACUGGUGCUGCGGUGCUGCUGGGCAGCCUCUAGGUCUUUCACAAGCUUCUUCAGGCUCUCCACCUCCUCCUUCAGGGCACGGGUCCGGUUCUCCUCUCGGUUCAGUUUGGCUCUCAGCUGCUCCCUUUCGAUAUCGAACUCAGACAGCUGCUUCUCCACCUGGGCCUCCGUCUGCAGGCCCCGCUUCCUCUCGGCUGCCAACUCUUCCUCUAGCUUGCUCGCCCGGCUCUUCUCCUUGUCCAGUUUCAGGCUCAGCUCUCCGGCCUUCUGCCCUUCCUCGGCUGCCUUGCUAGUGGCCUUCCUGCACUCGAGCACCAGCAUGGAAGAGAGCUGCUUGUGGCGGGUGCGCUCCUCCUCCAACUGACUGGACAGCUUCUUUUGUUCUUUUUCAAACUUUUUCACUUGGGACUUUUCAAAUUCCAACUAG